UACGAAGGGGGCUAGCGUUGUUCGGAAUCACUGGGCGUAAAGCGCACGUAGGCGGAUUUUUAAGUCAGGGGUGAAAUCCCGAGGCUCAACCUCGGAACUGCCUUUGAUACUGAGGAUCUGGAGUCCGGGAGAGGUGAGCGGAACUGCGAGUGUAGAGGUGAAAUUCGUAGAUAUUCGCAAGAACACCAGUGGCGAAGGCGGCUCACUGGCCCGGAACUGACGCUGAGGUGCGAAAGCGUGGGGAGCGAACGGG
rnacentral:rRNA from 1 species